UCCCCUUCAAGAUUAGCCACAACAGAAGAAGAAUCCGGCUCCUUUCCAUGCACGCUUGGAGUUCCAGUAUCUCCAGCAUCCUUUUUCCGUUUCCUGAUCAAUCCUCCUCUUAGCAGCUUUGAAGCGUCUGUAGGUUGGUGCGUGAAGUUUUCAACAGGUAGGGAUUCACCUAUCACCUCUUCUCCGUGGUUGUUUCGACCAAUCAGAGUGGAAAGUUUGGAGAUCCAAGAGCCUGUGCUUUCGAUAGCUGUUUUCUCGUUGUCGAAAUCAAGUUCAAUGAGUAGGCCCACGAGGUCGUGGUAACUUUUGUCGUCUAGUUUUAUUAUACCAGUGUCACUUUCGAAUGAAGCGCUAGUUGGGCAUGUUGGUGGGUCUUUGGUCAUGACGUCAUUUUGUGGUAAAAACUCGUUAUGGUACUCUUCCGCGGUUGAAUUUCUAACUUGUCCACUUACCUUCGACUCCGAGGCCGAAGAUUCUAGGGUGGUAUCUUUGCUAGGCGUUGAUUCGAUGUCCCGCUUUGUUUGGUUAUGUGCAUUCUGAGAAGUUGAAGAUAUCAUGGGAACAGAGUUCAAAAGUCCUGGAGGAUUUAUGACCACCCACAAGAACCCAACCAAUCUGCCAGCAGAACACUCUUGUCUAUACGCCAUCAUCUCCCAAAAUUGAUCUAUAGUCUUGAUGCUGCGCCAUUGUCCGGUGCUCGAUUCAUUUGUAACAUCAGGGACUUCAUAAUCGAGAUCUAGGAGGAACCGCGCUUUUGGAUCAUCUGGAAAACGUGGUACUUGGCAACGAGGUGGCGCAUUUCGCGAUCCACAUAUUUGGUACAGAGGAUACGAAUUGAGCCAGCGUGGUCGGGUCUGGGGAUCCGAUUUUGCGGAUGGAGGGAAAAAGGUCUUAGACUCGAACUUGUCGCAGCCCGGGACAAUGAGGUACGCCGUUGCUGAGGUGGUCUGCGCUUCAGUAUCGCGAUUUUGCUCCUCUGCUGGGUGGCCAUUCGCAUCUGCCUUUGCUUCAGGCUCGUGGCGUCUAAGGAUGGGGUCUACCACGCGGCACCACCAUUUGACCAGCCCCCGAUCAUCCAAAAUAUGCUUGCGCGGAUUCUCCACGCUACCCGGAAAGAGGUACUGGUUUUGUGCGCGUGCAAAGAGAGAAAGAACAAGUCUAAUGCCAGGCCUCUGAUGUGACGAGACAAUAUGCGAUAGGAACGAGGUUGAAAUACUGCGCAUCAACGAUUUCGCGGUGGGUGGAAGCUUCAACCGGUAUAGAUAUCCAGUCGAAUCAGCCUUGGAAACAAAAACGGUUGUGAGGUUUGCAGUGAUGAAAACCAAUAUCUCGAUUGCGAAGAUAAAUAGUUCGACUCGAUUAUUGUCCCUGGUAUCGUCUCCAGGCACCUCUGGCUGAAUUGACACGGUAAUGAAAUGGGUUUCACAAGUCGUGGGCUCCUCACUUUGUCCAGGUAGCGGAGAGAAAAGUGCGGGACAAGGCGUCGGGUCAGUGGCCAGAUGGCGGAUAAUGAGCUCUACAUCUUUUGGAAUCGCCUGAGCGAGAGUUACUCGCAGACUAGGGGAAGCCAUUCAAUCGAUACAUUAACACACGUGCCAAGACACCUGAGAAGGGCCCCUACAGCCGAAGCGCCUGUAGGCUAAAUAAUUAAAAAUUGCUAUAGCAGAUACGCCAUGCGAGUUGGCGGAGAUCCUUGCGUUGACAGAUAUUCUUGAGUAUCUUUCUAGCUUUUAGACAAAGAAACAAC
rnacentral:sRNA from 1 species